rnacentral:rRNA from 1 species
CCUACGGGCUGCAGCAGUGGGGAAUAUUGGACAAUGUGCGAAAGCCUGAUCCAGCAAUGCCGCGUGUGUGAAGAAGGUCUUCGGAUUGUAAAGCACUUUCGACGGGGACGAUGAUGACGGUACCCGUAGAAGAAGCCCCGGCUAACUUCGUGCCAGCAGCCGCGGUAAUACGAAGGGGGCUAGCGUUGCUCGGAAUGACUGGGCGUAAAGGGCGCGUAGGCGGUUUAUGCAGUCAGAUGUGAAAUCCCCGGGCUUAACCUAGGAACUGCAUUUGAGACGCAUAGACUAGAGGUCGAGGGAGGGUUGUGGAAUUCCCAGUGUAGAGGUGAAAUUCGUAGAUAUUGGGAAGAACACCGGUGGCGAAGGCGGCAACCUGGCUCGACACUGACACUGAGAGACGAAAGCGAGGGGAGCGAAUGGGAUUAGAUACCCUCGUAGUC